rnacentral:rRNA from 1 species
AUAACAGUCCGGAAACGGGUGCUAAUACCGCAUAGUUUUCUUGAUCGCAUGAUCGGGAAAGGAAAGACGGACCUUUGUGCUGUCGCUUAUGGAUGGACCCGCGGCGUAUUAGUUAGUUGGUGAGGUAACGGCUCACCAAGACGAUGAUACGCAGCCGACCUGAGAGGGUGAUCGGCCACAUUGGGACUGAGACACGGCCCAAACUCCUACGGGAGGCAGCAGUAGGGAAUCUUCCGCAAUGGACGAAAGUCUGACGGAGCAACGCCGCGUGAGUGAAGAAGGGUUUUUUACCGGGAUCGUAAAACUCUGUUGUCAGAGAAGAACAAGUUGGAGAGUAACUGCUCCAGCCUUGACGGUAUCUGACCAGAAAGCCACGGCUAACUACGUGCCAGCAGCAGC